AAUGAACGUUGGCGGCGUGGAUUAGGCAUGCAAGUCGAGCGUGUACCCCGCAAGGGGGAAAGCGGCGUAAGGGAGAGUAAUACGUAGAUACGUGCCUCCGGGUCUGGGAUAGCCACGGGAAACUGUGGGUAAUACCGGAUAAUGUCUGAGGACCAAAAGUGUGAUUCCACCUGGAGAUCGGUCUGCGUCCUAUCAUGCUUGUUGGUGAGGUAACGGCUCACCAAGGCUACGACGGGUACGGGGAGUGAGAGCUUGCCCCCGCUCACUGGGACUGAGACACUGCCCAGACACCUACGGGUGGCUGCAGUCGAGGAUCUUCGGCAAUGGGCGCAAGCCUGACCGAGCGACGCCGCGUGCGGGAUGAAGGCCUUCGGGUUGUAAACCGCUGUCAGUGGGGAGGAAGGCUCCGUGAAGAACGGGGUUUGACCUAUCCGCAGAGGAAGUGUGGGCUAAGUUCGUGCCAGCAGCCGCCGUAA
rnacentral:rRNA from 1 species